rnacentral:rRNA from 1 species
GACGAACGCUGGCGGCGUGCCUAAUACAUGCAAGUCGAACGAAGCUGUUUUAACUGGUGCUUGCACCGACUUAAACAACUUAGUGGCGAACGGGUGAGUAACACGUGGGUAACCUGCCCCAAAGCGGGGGAUAACAUUUGGAAACAGAUGCUAAUACCGCAUAACUACAGAAACCACAUGGUUUCUGUGUCAAAGAUGGUUUCGGCUAUCACUUUGGGAUGGACCCGCGGCGUAUUAGCUAGUUGGUAAGGUAAUGGCUUACCAAGGCGAUGAUACGUAGCCGAACUAGGAGGUUGAUCGGCCACAUUGGGACUGGGACACGGCCCAAACUCCUACGGGAGGCAGCAGUAGGGAAUCUUCCACAAUGGACGAAAGUCUGAUGGAGCAACGCCGCGUGAGUGAAGAAGGUUUUCGGAUCGUAAAACUCUGUUGUCAGAGAAGAACGUGUGCGAGAGUAACUGUUCGUGCAGUGACGGUAUCUGGCCAGAAAGCCACGGCUAACUACGUGCCAGCCGCCGCCGUAA